rnacentral:rRNA from 1 species
GACGAACGCUAGCGGCAGGCUUAAUACAUGCAAGUCGAGGGGCAGCACAGGGUAGCAAUACCUGGGUGGCGACCGGCAAACGGGUGCGGAACACGUACAGAACCUUCCUUCGAGCGGGGAAUAGCCCAGAGAAAUUUGGAUUAAUACCCCAUAGCAUAAUGGAGUGGCAUCACUUUGUUAUUAAAGAUUUAUCACUUGAAGAUGGCUGUGCGUAUGAUUAGGUAGUUGGCGGGGUAACGGCCCACCAAGCCUACGAUCAUUAACUGGUGUGAGAGCACGACCAGUCGCACGGGCACUGAGACACGGGCCCGACUCCUACGGGAGGCAGCAGUAAGGAAUAUUGGUCAAUGGACGCAAGUCUGAACCAGCCAUGCCGCGUGGAGGAUGAAGGUCCUCUGGAUUGUAACUUCUUUUAUCUGGGACGAAAAAAGGGAAUUCUUUCUCGUCUGACGGUACCAGAUGAAUAAGCACCGGCUAACUCCGUGCCAGCCGCCGCAGUAA